UACAGAGGUCUCAAGCGUUGUUCGGAUUCAUUGGGCGUAAAGGGUGCGUAGGCGGCGCGGUAAGUCGGGUGUGAAAUUUCGAGGCUUAACUUCGAAACUGCAUUCGAUACUGGCGUGCUUGAGGACUGGAGAGGAGACUGGAAUUCAUGGUGUAGCAGUGAAAUGCGUAGAGAUCAUGAGGAAGACCAAUGGCGAAGGCGGGUCUCUGGACAGUUCCUGACACUGAGACACGAAGGCCAGGGGAGCAAACGGG
rnacentral:rRNA from 1 species